AUACGGAGGGUGCAAGCGUUGUUCGGAAUUACUGGGCGUAAAGCGCGCGUAGGUGGUCUGUUAUGUCAGAUGUGAAAGUCCACGGCUCAACCGUGGAAGUGCAUUUGAAACUGGCAGACUUGAGUACUGGAGGGGGUAGUGGAAUUCCCGGUGUAGAGGUGAAAUUCGUAGAUAUCGGGAGGAAUACCGGUGGCGAAGGCGACUACCUGGCCAGAUACUGACACUGAGGUGCGAAAGCGUGGGGAGCAAACAGGAUUAGAAACCCUUGUAGUCC
rnacentral:rRNA from 1 species